GACGAACGCUGGCGGUAUGCUUAACACAUGCAAGUCGAACGAGAAGUCUUUUAUUGAACCUUCGGGGGAUAUAAGAGACAGACAGUGGCGAACGGGUGAGUAACGCGUGGGCAACCUACCUAUCGGAGCGGGAUAGCCUCGAGAAAUCGGGAGUAAAACCGCAUAACACGGAUAUAUCGCAUGAUGAAUCCGUCAAAACUCCGGUGCCGAUAGAUGGGCCCGCGUCUGAUUAGCUAGUUGGUAAGGUAAGGGCUUACCAAGGCAACGAUCAGUAGCCGGUCUGAGAGGGCGAACGGCCACACUGGAACUGAGACACGGUCCAGACUCCUACGGGAGGCAGCAGUGGGGAAUAUUGCGCAAUGGGGGCAACCCUGACGCAGCAAUACCGCGUGAGUGAAGAAGGUUUUCGGAUCGUAAAGCUCUGUUAUUGGGGAAGAAGCAGUGACGGUACCCAAUGAGGAAGUCCCGGCUAACUACGUGCCAGCAGCCGCGGUAAUACGUAGGGGACGAGCGUUGUCCGGAAUCACUGGGCGUAAAGGGCGCGUAGGCGGUUUUAUAAGUCAGAUGUGAAAGGUACCGGCUCAACCGGUGACGUGCAUUUGAAACUGUAAGACUUGAGUACUGAAGAGGCAAGCGGAAUUCCUAGUGUAGCGGUGAAAUGCGUAGAUAUUAGGAAGAACACCGGUGNCGAAGGCGGCUUGCUGGGCAGAUACUGACGCUGAGGUGCGAAAGCGUGGGGAGCGAACAGG
rnacentral:rRNA from 1 species